rnacentral:rRNA from 1 species
GGGUAGUCCACGCCGUAAACGAUGGAUACUAGCUGUUGGAGGGUAUCGACCCCUUCAGUAGCGAAGCUAACGCGUUAAGUAUCCCGCCUGUGGAGUACGGCCGCAAGGCUAAAACAUAAAGGAAUUGACGGGGACCCGCACAAGCGGUGGAUUAUGUUCUUUAAUUCGAUGAUAACCGAAGAACCUUACCAGGGCUUGACAUCCAGGGAAGGUCUGCGAAAGUAGACUGUGCCUUUUGGAACCCUGUGACAGGUGAUGCAUGGCCGUCGUCAGCUCGUGUCGUGAGAUGUUAGGUUAAGUCCUUCAACGAGCGCAACCCUUGUGAAUAGUUGUAUUUUUCUAUUCAGACUGCCCCGGUAACGGGGAGGAAGGAGGGGAUGAUGUCAGGUCAGUAUUUCCCUUACGUCCUGGGCUAGAAACGUAAUACAAUGGCUAGUACAAUGCGCANGCGAAGCCGCGAGGUGAAGCAAAUCGCAUCAAAGCUAGUCCCAGUUCGGAUUGGAGGCUGAAACUCGCCUCCAUGAAGUCGGAAUCGCUAGUAAUCGCAAAUCAGCAAGUUGCGGUGAAUACGUUCCCGGGUCUUGUACACACCGCCCGUCAAACCAUGAAAGUGACCAACACCCGAAGUCCGAUUCGUCGGCCUAAGGUGGGGGGCAUGAUUGGGGUU